GACGUAGGGUGCAAGCGUUGUCCGGAAUUAUUGGGCGUAAAGAGCUCGUAGGCGGUCUGUCGCGUCGGCUGUGAAAACUCGGGGCUCAACCCCGAGCCUGCAGUCGAUACGGGCAGACUAGAGUGCGGUAGGGGAGACUGGAAUUCCUGGUGUAGCGGUGAAAUGCGCAGAUAUCAGGAGGAACACCGGUGGCGAAGGCGGGUCUCUGGGCCGUAACUGACGCUGAGGAGCGAAAGCGUGGGGAGCAAACAGG
rnacentral:rRNA from 1 species